AUACAUUAAGGACUCAAAGACCAUACAAAGACUUUAAACAUGACAUCAACAUUCAGCAAUACAUGAGUUCUUUGUUAAAAAAAGUUGCUGGAAUUUUAUUAAAAAAAUGUGAAAAUAAUUAAAGUUCUCAAAACGAAUGAGCUACCUUCAUUCUACCAAAAUUGUUACACUUACCCUUGAUUGAAUAGCCAAGUUAUCAUCUCUUUUUUAACGUAUUGGCAACAAAAAAGGGUGAUAUACCCUUCUUUCUUUCUUAUACGCGUUGACUUUAAAGAAUUGAAAUAAUUUCAAAUUCUUAUUUUACUUUCGUUGAACUUCGUUUUCUCAUUCUUGUUCCUAGGUCGGCUUUCUCGAGCAAGUCGGCAGCGAAUUUCUUCACCUGGAAACGUAAAGAAGAGAAAAUCAGUUAAUUUUGAUUAAAAUAAGAUGUUAGAUCUUUUCACUUAGUGGGGGUCGUUUUCGGGGUUUUAGUCCUACCGGCGACGAUCCUCCGACUGGCGGCCUCAUCCUCUUCCACAGUUUUCCGAAAAAAAUAAAAGGAAAAUCAGGGAUAAAGGAGAAGAAAAUAUGUUAAUGAAAGAAUAAGACCUAAAACUUGUGGAUCGAGGCUUGAAUGUUGGCGGAGGACUCGCCGGUAGUGUCCUCCGACGACAUGCAAGUCUAGACUUAGUUUAAACCGAAAAUAAGAGAGGAAUAGAAAGAUAGGAGCGGCCACUGCGAAGAAGAGCAGAGAAGAGGAGAAGCGGAGUGGUGUUGGCACGCGAAGGAGAGCUGGCGGUAGCAUCAACACCAUCGCCAAUGAACGGGAGAUGAGAGGGGAUGGUAAAGAGAAAAGGAGAAGAGUCGAU
rnacentral:lncRNA from 1 species